GGGUGACAGAGCAAGACUCCGUCUCAAAAACAAAAAAACAAAAAACAAAACCAUCUGAUUUUCUAUCAAGAAUUUGAAGUGGCCUAUUGAUGUCUCCAACUAUUAUUGCAGAACUACACAUUCUUUCCCUAAAUUUUGCCAAUGUUUGCUUUGUAUAUUUUGGGGGCUCUGUUGUUUAGUGUGUGCAUAUUUAUAACUGUUAUAUCUUCUUGAUAAAUUGAUCCUUUUAUUAGUGUUUAAUGCCCUUGUUCCAAUUGUAACAGUGGUUAAAGUCAAUUCAUGUCAUAUUAGUAGAGCCACACCACCUCUCUUUUGGUUACCAUUUGUAUGGAAUAUAUUUUUCUGUUUUUCACUUUCAAUUUAUUUGUGGCUUGCAUCUAAAUUGAGUCUCUUAUAGAAAAUAUGUAGUUGUAUGAUUUUAAAAAUCCAUUACACUGAUUUUUGCCUCUCAAUUGGAAAGUUUACUUCAUUUACUUUUAUAGAAAUUAUUGAUGAGAAUUACUACUGCCAUUUUGCUUUUUGUUUUCUAUAAUUUUUUGUUCAUUUCUUCCCUUAAUACUUUUUUUGUGAUUAGUUGAUUUUUAUAGUGAAAUGUUUUAAAAAGCUUUGUCAUUUUCUUAUGUGUGCAUUUUAAAAAAAUUGUCUCUAACUGCCAUAAGGAUUCUAUUUAAUAAAUUUAUAAUCAUCUAUGUUUUAAUUAAUGCGAACAUAAUUUCAAUAGCAUGAAACACUCCAUAUCUAUGUAGUCCCCUUACCCAUUUCAUGUUGUUUCACAAAUUACAUUCAUAUACAUUCUGUGCUGAAUAACAUAAAUUUAUAAUUAUUUUUAUAAAUUUUUUUCAACACAUAUAGAAAAUAAAAAUGGAGUUAUAAACUAAAAAUAAAAUAAUGCUAAGUUUUAUAAUUGCCCAUGGACUUACUUUUUCCAGGAAACCUUUAUUUCUUCAUUCAUCUUUAAGUUAUUGUCUAGUGUCUUUUCAUUUCAACCUGAAGGAAUCUGUUUAGCAUUUUUCACUGGACAGGUCUGCAAGUUAUAAACUCCUUCAUCUUUUGUUUCUCUUUAAAUGUAUUAAUUUUUUACUCAUUUAUCACAGAAUGUUUUGCUAGAUAAAGAAUUCUCAGUAAGUAGUUGUUAUUGUUUUUGGUCUUUCUUUCAGGACUAAAACAUGUUAUUCCACUAUCUUCUCACCUCCAUCAUUUAUAAUGAGAAAUCAGCUAUUAAUCUUAUUGAAAAUCCCUUGUAAAUAAUAAAUUGAUUUUCCCUAGCUACUUGCAAAAUUGUCUGUCUUUAGCUUUCAAUAAUUUGACAACUGUAUGUCUCAGUGUGGAUCUCUUUAUCUUACUUGAUGUUUAUUCAUGUUUCUUGAAUUUGUAUAUUUAUGUCUUUCAUCAAAUAUGGAAAGUUUUCAGCCAUUAUUUCUUCAAAUAUUUGUCCUGCCUUUUCUCUCUGUCAUCUUUUUCUGGGAUUCUCCUUCAUAUGUUGGUCCCCUUGAUGGCAUUUCACAAGCCCCUUAGGUGCCAUUUACUUUUCUUUAUUAUUUUUUUUUCUACUUCUCAGACUUGAUAGAUAGAAUAGAUAAUUUCUAUCACCCUAUUGUGAAUUUCCUGAUUUUGCCUUUUGGCUGGUAAAAUUUGUGUUGAAUUUCUCUAUUUAAUUUUUUUAUUCCAGUUUUUAUACUUUAAAGCUCCAGAAUUUUUGGCUCCUUUUAUAGUUUUUCUUUAUUGAUAUUUUUAUUUUGUUCAUUUAUUAUAUUUCUGAUUUUUCUUAUUUGGUUGUUCAGGUUUUCCUUCAAUUAUUUGAGCAUGUUUAAGAUAAUUUUUAAAAAUAAUCUUUUUGCCGGCAAUUACAACAUCUAGACAUUUUUAGGGAUGGUAGUUGUUAAUUUAUUUUGUUCUAUUAAAUAAGUCUUAUUUCCUAUUUCUUUGUAUGCCUUGUGAUUUUUUUGUUAAAAAAAUGGACACUUGAAUAUUACAAUGUGAUUCUGGAAAUCAAAUGUUCCUACUUCUCAGGGUUUGCUCUUUUGUAAUUAUUGAAGGCUGUAGUAAACUCUUGGUAUAAUGAC
rnacentral:lncRNA from 10 species